rnacentral:rRNA from 1 species
AGCCUGCGGUUUAAUUGGAUUCAACGCCGGAAAUCUCACCGGGGCGACAGCAGUAUGAAGGUCAGGCUGAAGACCUUACCCGAUUAGCUGAGAGGUGGUGCAUGGCCGUCGUCAGUUCGUACUGUGAAGCAUCCUGUUAAGUCAGGCAACGAGCGAGACCCACGUCCACAGUUGCCAGCAUACCCUCCGGGGUGAUGGGUACACUGUGGAGACCGCCGCUGCUAAAGCGGAGGAAGGAGUGGGCAACGGUAGGUCAGUAUGCCCCGAAUCUCCCGGGCUACACGCGGGCUACAAUGGUUGGUACAAUGGGCAUCUACCCCGAAAGGGGAAGGAAAUCUCUUAAAGCCAAUCGUAGUUCGGAUUGAGGGCUGCAACUCGCCCUCAUGAAGCUGGAAUCCGUAGUAAUCGCGUUUCAACAGAACGCGGUGAAUACGUCCCUGCUCCUU